rnacentral:rRNA from 1 species
AAUAGCCUAACGGCUGAACCAGCAACUUGGAGGAAUGUAUAGCGAAAGCUAGUUGCAUUUAACUUAGCGAAAGCUAAGUUGAUGCAGGAUUGACUAUGUCAAAUAAAGUUCUAGGUGGGUUAUGAUGAUGACAUUUUCUAUCUAUGUGUCUUGACCAAAUUACGUGCCAGCAGUCGCGGUAACACGUAAAAGACUAGUGUUAUUCAUCUUUAAUAGGUUUAAAGGGUACCUAGACGGUAAAUCAAGUCCAAGAAGGGUACUAAUUUUACUAGAGUUUAAUAUGAGGGGGCACUAAAGUACUGAUAAGUGUAGAGAUGAAAUUCUGUGAUACAAUAUACGGCACUGGUAAAGGCGAAAGCAUCUCAUUAUGUAAUAACUGACGUUGAGGGACGAAGGCUAGGUGUAGCAAAAAGGAUUAGAUACCCAAGUAGUCUUAGCAGAAAAUUAUGAAUGUCAUAGGAUGGAAAGUUGGAUGGACAAACAACAAAUUUUUUUUCUAUAAAUGAAAGUGUAAGCAUUCCACCUCGAGAGUAAUUUGGCAACAUUGGAACUGAAAUCAUUAGACCGUUUCUGAAACAAGUAGUGAAGUAUGUUGUUUAAUUUGAUGGUCCGCAAAAAACCUUACCACAAUUUGAAUAGAAAAAAUUUUUUUCAUACAAGCGCUGCACGGUUGUCUUCAGUUAAUGUCGUGAGAUCUUGGUUAGUUCCAUUAAAUUAACGUAAACCCUUACUCUAUUUUUAUAUAGAGUAGUUCACCGCUAGAUUGGAUGUGAUAACAGGGACUAAGACAAGUCAUCAUGGCCUUAAUAUUGUGGGCUAUAGACGUGCCACAUAUGCCUUACAAAGGGAUG